rfam:Gossypium raimondii chromosome 11, whole genome shotgun sequence.
AAUCCGUGGUGUGGGCAUUUCAAAAUCAACUUUUUAACAUGCUCACAUGUUUCAUGAAAACUUUCCCCCUCAAACUGUUUGAACAUAGAAAUUUCCCUUUUUAGCU